rnacentral:rRNA from 1 species
CCGACGGUGAGGGACGAAAGCUGGGGAGCAAACCGGAUUAGAUACCCGGGUAGUCCCAGCUGUAAACGAUGCGCGUUAGGUGUGUCAGUGACCACGUGUCACUGAUGUGCCGAAGGGAAACCGUGAAACGCGCCGCCUGGGGAGUACGGUCGCAAGGCUGAAACUUAAAGGAAUUGGCGGGGAGCACCACAACGGGUGGAGCCUGCGGUUUAAUCGGACUCAACGCCGGAAAUCUCACCGGAUAAGA